rnacentral:rRNA from 1 species
GGGAGAGGUUAGCCGUAAGGCGAAGCUUUGAACUUAAGCCCCAGUAAACGGCGGCCGUAACUAUAACGGUCCUAAGGUAGCGAAAUUCCUUGUCGGGUAAGUUCCGACCCGCACGAAAGGCGUAAUGAUUUGGGCACUGUCUCAACAAUGCACCCGGUGAAAUUGAAAUACCAGUGAAGAUGCUGGUUACCUGCGCCAGGACGGAAAGACCCCAUGGAGCUUUACUCUAGCUUGAUACUGGGAUUCGAUAUUGCAUGUACAGGAUAGGUGGGAGACUUUGAACUGAUGACGCCAGUUGUCAGGGAGUCACUGUUGGGAUACCACCCUUGUAGUAUUGGAUUUCUAACCAGCAGCCGUGAACCGGCUGGGGGACAAUGUCAGGUGGGGAGUUUGACUGGGGCGGUCGCCUCCGAAAGGGUAUCGGAGGCGCUCAAAGGUUCCCUCAGAAUGGUUGGAAACCAUUCGAAGAGUGCAAAGGCAGAAGGGAGCUUGACUGCGACACCGACGGGUGGAGCAGGUACGAAAGUAGGACUUAGUGAUCCGGUGGUAUAAAGUGGGAUUGCCAUCGCUCAACGGAUAAAAGCUACCCUGGGGAUAACAGGCUUAUCACUCCCAAGAGUUCACAUCGACGGAGUGGUUUGGCACCUCGAUGUCGGCUCAUCGCAUCCUGGGGCUGAAGUAGGUCCCAAGGGUUGGGCUGUUCGCCCAUUAAAGCGGUACGCGAGCUGGGUUCAGAACGUCGUGAGACAGUUCGGUCCCUAUCCGGCGUGGGCGUAGGAUAUUUGAGAGGAGCUGCCCUUAGUACGAGAGGACCGGGGUGGACUGGCCGCUGGUGGAUCUGUUGUAUUACCAAAUGCAUAGCAGAGUAGCCAAGCCGGGACGGGAUAAACGCUGAAGGCAUCUAAGCGUGAAGCCCCCCUCAAGAUGAGAUAUCCCAUAACGUCAAGUUAGUAAGACCCCUUGAAGACGACGAGGUAGAUAGGGCAGAGGUGGAAGUGUGGUAACACAUGGAGCUGACUGUUACUAAUAGGUCGAGGGCAUAACCAAG